CAGUCGCCACGGUAAUACGUAGGGUGCAAGCGUUAAUCGGAAUUACUGGGCGUAAAGUGUGCGCAGGCGGUUUGUUAAGACAGAUGUGAAAUCCCCGGGCUCAACCUGGGAACUGCAUUUGUGACUGGCAAGCUAGAGUGUGGCAGAGGGGGGUGGAAUUCCGCGUGUAGCAGUGAAAUGCGUAGAUAUGCGGAGGAACACCGAUGGCGAAGGCAGCCCCCUGGCCAACACUGACGCUCAUGCACGAAAGCGUGGGGAGCAAACAGGAUUAGAUACCCCAGUAGUCCCUGUCUCUUAUACC
rnacentral:rRNA from 1 species